rnacentral:piRNA from 1 species
UUCCCUGACAUGAGUGUCCUUAUGAAUGUG